UCCCAAUGGAAACAGAUUUCCGAAAGAGAGGCUUUGAAGGGCCUAAUAAAUUUCCAGCUAACAGUUAUGGCGGAAGAAACUUGGAAAGAGUUUUUCGAGAAAUUGGCGCUCAGCCUUGUUGAGUACGCCGCCCGCAGCCCUAAAGAAUUCCUCAUGUAUUUUUUCUUGGCACUAAGUCCAAUCAUGAUUUGCAGUGCAAUCUUAGCAUAUAUGAUGAUCAAAGAGAUUGACCAAAAAGAAAGAGACAAGAAAAAGAAAGGAACAAGACAAACAAAUUUGGCAAAAACAAGGAGAAAAGCAAUGAAAACGGACUAAGUUUGUUGCUCCAUUUUUUUGCUUGAAUGUUUCACACAUGCAACAUACAGGCCUAGUCAGCCACACAAUGGAACUUGUUUAUGGAUUUAUCAUCAGCGGUUAAUUGCAACUCCUACUGACACUGUUUGAUCAAACUUGAUUUAUGUAUAUUGUCACUUUUUGAUAUGUUCUUAUUGAAACUUAACAUAAGAUGACUAAUAUUACAUUUAUGAGAACUCUCCUUCA